rnacentral:rRNA from 1 species
CGCAUCUGUGCAUGCAGCAUAUCAAUAAGCGGAGGAAAAGAAACUAACAAGGAUUCCCCUAGUAACGGCGAGUGAAGCGGGAAGAGCUCAAAUUUGAAAUCUUAAAGGGCUUUCCCCUUUACGAAUUGUAGUUUAAAGAAGUGUUUUCUGUUGAGGUUUUGGUAAAAGUUCUUUGGAAUAGGACAUCAUAGAGGGUGAGAAUCCCGUAUUUGACCUGUACUUUCAACUUUGUGAUACACUUUCAAAGAGUCGGAUUGUUUGGGAAUGCAGUCCAAAAUGGGUGGUGAAUUUCAUCUAAAGCUAAAUAUUGGCGAGAGACCGAUAGCGAACAAGUACCGUGAGGGAAAGAUGAAAAGAACUUUGAAAAGAGAGUUAAACAGUACGUGAAAUUGUCAAAAGGGAAGGCGUUUGACACCAGUGUUGUUUUUCUGAAAAUCAAUUAAAGAACUGUUUAUGCUAAGUUGUUUAGACUUUAUCAGCUAACUGUUUAGUUUUGAGCUUUUCUUUAAUGCACUUUUCAGUUAACAAGUCAACAUCAAUUUCUUUUGCUGUAAAAAAGCUUGAGGAAGGUGGCUUGAGAUUCGUCUUAAGUGUUUAUAGCCUCUUGCCUAUGCAGUCGGAGAGAUUGAGGUCUGCAGCGUAGAUCCUUCGGGGCUAAAUGCAUUUGUGCUAAGUUAUAGCAUUUUAUAGACAACUUGUUGACUAUGAUUUGUCUUGUAGCUUACUCGCUUAUGUUAUUUUACCUACGCUUAGGAUGUUGAGCGCAUGUCUCUCUCU